GCUCACUGUCUUCCUGUCUGUGAGGUUACACAGGUGCUGCUCACUGUCUUCCUGUCUGUGAGGUUACACAGGUGCUGCUCACUGUCUUCCUGUCUGUGAGGUUACACAGGUGCUGCUCACUGUCUUCCUGUCUGUGAGGUUACACAGGUGCUGCUCACUGUCUUCCUGUCUGUGAGGUUACACAGGUGCUGCUCACUGUCUUCCUG